GCGUCCCCAGUGUAAACAGAACCAUGAAAAAGAAACAGUUAUGUCCUAACUCCCUCCUUCGCUACGUGGAUACAAAUAGUCAGACGUGGACAAAUGGAAUUCCGGAAUUCCCUCUCUGGAAACACGAGAAAACGUCACUCCCUAAGAACCAAUGAGGGCGCGACCCUGAGAAAGGGAAUGUCGCGGACGUGCAGGUGUCGCAUAGAGUUAUGGGGCGUCUGGACGGCGCCUUUCCUCCUCUGAACGCCACCCUCUCAAUCCUCCGCACAGGGAGUGACCUCACAUCUCGGAAAGCUUCUGCGGCCGCGCAAAGCAGCGCUGAUGUUUUAAAUUCGCUUGUAUUUAAUAUCGAAGCACUUUUCGGACGUAAAAAAUUAUUCAGGUAGCUUGUCUGCUGAUGCCGAACAUAGUGGUACCGGUUUCAUAGAUGCGUUUCCGGAUGCGACCGUCCCUUUGAAACGUCUGCUACAUUACGCCUGUAAGCUGCUCUCUCUGGUACGAUUUGCUCCAACAAUAUUGACAUUAAGAAAACAUUAAAAACCCAUUAAAAAAGCAUUGUCCUCCGGACCCUUGGGUUUUUUAAAAAUAAAUAUGAUCGUUUACAACUGGCCUUCUACUGCACAGCAUUUGCUUUAUUAUGCAAUAUAACAGCGAAUAUAGGCAACACGCAACAGCAUGGCGAAUAACACUUUGUAAACCACACUGUGAUAAGUGCUUAGACGUGACCUGAUAGCUUCAGUAUUUGAGAGAUAUGAGAGAUACAAAAUGUGCACAGAACACAGCUGAUAGUACCUGUCCAGCAGUGGUGUAGCCAGGGGUUGGGUUUACGGGGGGUUCUACCCCGUCCUCCGAAUGCAUAACAAAGAGAGUGCAUGCGCUACAAUGGUAGCGCAUUUAGGAAAGGGAAAACGAGGGUGUAAUCCUCCUCCAAUAUAACCCCUAUAGAACCCUCCCAACAUAUUUUUCUGGCUACACUACUGAUGUCCAGCAACGCCUGUGCUUCGGUUCUGCACAUAAAUAACGUAGAGACACUCUCUCUUCCGACAAGAGCCUCGAAUGAGGCUAACAAAGGCGCAGCGAUUGCUAGCCUUGUUACGUACUGCAGAACAAACAACAAUUCAUUGCCAACGUGAUCUAACUGUGUUUACAGACAUCUACAACCACUCUAACAGCCAAAGGUGAUAUCUGUUCCCCCUUUAUCCCUUCCCCUUUCCAAUCAACCAGAGUUCCUCUUUCACAGCAGAUUUAUCAUACUGGGUCAAUACUUUACCUUCUGCAUUUCUUGCAAUUGUAAAGGUUUGUUCGGUGCUGCCCAUACCUAUUUAUUUAGAAAUGCUAAGCAGCGUGUAGGGACUUGAAGGGACUGUGGGGUACAUAGGGACAUACAUGCACAAGCUAUUCCCCCUACAAGCUACUCUGUAGUAUGUACAUUUGUAAGGAACUGUAAGUGGCAGUGGAACCGUACGGAUCAACAAAUUUGUAGCAUUCUUUUAGCAGGGCCAUAUAAACAACCUCGUCGUGCAACAACUUGGGUGAUGAUGCACUUGCUCAGACAGUUUUUUUACUUCUCAGUGUAACGUCCUCACGUAGAUAACAGAAACAAAAGUACCAUGGUGCCGUUGACGAACCUCAGCACAGCUCUUGUACAUCAUGCCAAAUAUGUUCCCUGUCUCAUCCUCUGUCAACAAGCCAGUUACAAGCUAAACCAAAACUCUGCACUACGAAUAAUCACCUCGCUGACUGACUGCGAAAUGUCCUCACAGAUGCAGGAAUGUAUCACUCUGUAAAAAUGCUGAGGCAAAAUGCUGCAUAUGAAUCUCACUACAUGACCUCAAAGACACAGACUCCAGAGUCUGAAUAAUAAUAAUAAUAAUAAUAAUAAAUAAGCACACAAAAAUACCACAUCGCAACGUUACAGUAUUGUAUGUACAGCACUUUUAUCAAUUCAACACCUUUGACUCGAUGUUUUUUCUGUUCUUGCUAUAUGUAAUUCUCUUGGUGGGCAUUUUCAAAUAACAAAAUAAAUAACUUUGGAGCACAACUGCCCAGUUCUUACUGCGAUUUCCCAACCAAGGCGCAUUUUUUUCUGUUGAUACUGCACAACACAUUAUUAUUUAAACCCACAGUCUGUACCAAACUCUGCUAAUGCCAUCCUAUUCCCUAAACCUCCAAAUCUAAUCUUGCUGUACUUACACAACUCUUUCAAACUCUACGACUGCAGAGAAAUACUUUCAAACAAAUUAUCGAUUCCUGUAAGAACCUUCUGGCCAUUGCAGAACUGAAAACAAGUGCGAAGUCCACGAUCAAAACCAGUACUUAUCUUCCAACAACAGUGAAGAGAGAAUGAAAUUCACGUCAGUUGGCUGCUAUAUUGGUUUAUCGCGGAAUUCUGUCACGCAGGAAUUCCAAUAAUGCUGAUGUUCCCUUCGACAGUAUGGCAGGUCUUGGGUUGCGGAAUGGGUUGCCUUCCAGUUGAAGGUUCCUGUUUGAAGGAAGACUGUGCUUCAAGAGGGUUGCCACGAGGCCGGUAUUCUACCGGCACGGACGGUUAUUUGCUCGCUGUGCCGGUUGCCGGUAGGAAGGUGAUACCGGCAGCCUUUUGCCGGUAUUUGUGACUCAAGACCUUUCAUAGGGGCUUUUGCGGAAUUUUCGCUUCGACAUUCCACUACAGCUUGAAUAAAUCUGGAGCACAGACCCAACUCCGUGCAGUCACCA